CAAAUGAGUAAAAGAGAAUGAAACUAAAUAAACAUAAAAUUAAACAUGAAAAUUUAAUUCCCUGCUACGUAUGCACUUCCCAUCAAAACAAUGGAGCAAUGGAUUGCAAAUAUUCUUCCAAACCAAUGCUCAAUGUACCACAACCUAGAGUAAGAAUACUUCUUCUGUUCCAACAUCUGCUCACCGUAUAUUCCCUUUGAUUCCAGCAUUUCCUCACUAUGAUUUCAACUGGAUAUAUCAGCUCACCUUAACUCCGAGCCUUCCCAUU
rnacentral:misc_RNA from 1 species